GAUGAACGCUGGCGGUCUGCUUAACACAUGCAAGUCGAACGAACUCUUCGGAGUGAGUGGCGGACGGGUGAGUAACGCGUGAGAAUCUGCCUGUGGGUCGGGGACAACCACUGGAAACGGUGGCUAAUACCGGAUGAGCCGAAAGGUAAAAAAUUUAUUGCCCACAGAUGAGCUCGCGUCUGAUUAGCUAGUUGGUAAGGUAAAAGCGUACCAAGGCGACGAUCAGUAGCUGGUCUGAGAGGAUGAGCAGCCACACUGGGACUGAGACACGGCCCAGACUCCUACGGGAGGCAGCAGUGGGGAAUUUUCCGCAAUGGGCGAAAGCCUGACGGAGCAAGACCGCGUGGGGGAGGAAGGUUUUUGGAUCGUAAACCCCUUCUGUCAAGGAAGAAGUUCUGACGGUACUUGACGAAUAAGCCUCGGCUAACUCCGUGCCAGCAGCCGCGGUAAUACGGAGGAGGCAAGCGUUAUCCGGAAUGAUUGGGCGUAAAGCGUCUGUAGGUGGCCAGCUAAGUCUGCUGUUAAAGAUCACAGCUCA
rnacentral:rRNA from 1 species